AUUGAGCGCUGGCGGCAGGCUUAACACAUGCAAGUCGAGCGGGGGAAGGUAGCUUGCUACCGGACCUAGCGGCGGACGGGUGAGUAAUGCUUAGGGAUCUGCCUAUUAGUGGGGGACAACAUCUCGAAAGGGAUGCUAAUACCGCAUACGUCCUACGGGAGAAAGCAGGGGAUCUUCGGACCUUGCGCUAAUAGAUGAGCCUAAGUCGGAUUAGCUAGUUGGUGGGGUAAAGGCCUACCAAGGCGACGAUCUGUAGCGGGUCUGAGAGGAUGAUCCGCCACACUGGGACUGAGACACGGCCCAGACUCCCACGGGAGGCAGCAGUGGGGAAUAUUGGACAAUGGGGGGGAACCCUGAUCCAGCCAUGCCGCGUGUGUGAAGAAGGCCUUAUGGUUGUAAAGCACUUUAAGCGAGGAGGAGGCUACUUUAGUUAAUACCUAGAGAUAGUGGACGUUACUCGCAGAAUAAGCACCGGCUAACUCUGUGCCAGCAGCCGCAGUAA
rnacentral:rRNA from 1 species